GCUUACCCAGUGACCUCUCGGCUUAGUUGCUUCCUGACGGGUGUGAGGUGAGGUGUUGCUCGUGGUCUUUCUUGCGUCGUAGUGCAGGGAUGGGGGUUCAAUAUCGAUCUAUUUGUGGUCAUGAUUCACCUCCUCUUGAAAACGUGGCCAGACUGAGGAAACUACAAGGAAAGUGAUCACACCCAGCCGUCCAGUUUUGUACGUAGAAGUGAACAUCAAAGACUUGGGUGUGAACGAAAAUGGGUUGUCAACGGUACCUUUCCAGCCACCCAGACCCCUUCCCCCCCGGCUCCUGCUCUCACCCAACCACCCCUCCCUAGCCUCCAUCUCUGCUGCCUCACUCCACAAAGGUAGAUGUCGAGGCACAGCUGUGAAGAAAUGCACAUCAGUAGAGCAGCACAUGGAUACACAGGGAUGGAAGAAGACUACAAGAGGCCUCCAAGUUGGAUGGAGCAGCUCAGCUGCCUUCACCCAUGGUCACCUUACCUGCAUUAUUCGGUCAACGUUGGGCAAGUCGUCAAACAUGAUCUUGAGGGCUGAGCCGGCGAAGUAGCCACGCAGCAUCUUCCCGGCGACCAGCACCAGCGUGGUGUACAUCCCCACAAUGCUGAGGAGAUGAGUUGUUGCUUCAAGGCAAAUUAGCACUGAUACACUCACCCUCCACCUGAGAUGAAGCUGAGGCCCUUGGGGAAGGUCUUGUCGUUGAAGGUGUAGAUGGUGAGGAAGCGGCAGUGUUUGUGGUGCGGCAGCCAGUCAAAGUAACGGUUCUC